AACGGUCCUUCGGGACAGUGGCAGACGGGUGAGUAACGCGUGGGAAUCUACCUAGCUCUACGGAAUAGCUUCGGGAAACUGGAAUUAAUACCGUAUACGCCCUCCGGGGGAAAGAUUUAUCGGAGUUAGAUGAGCCCGCGUUAGAUUAGCUAGUUGGUGGGGUAAUGGCCUACCAAGGCGACGAUCUAUAGCUGGUCUGAGAGGAUGAUCAGCCACACUGGGACUGAGACACGGCCCAGACUCCUACGGGAGGCAGCAGUGGGGAAUAUUGGACAAUGGGCGAAAGCCUGAUCCAGCCAUGCCGCGUGUGUGAUGAAGGCCUUAGGGUUGUAAAGCACUUUCAACGGGGAAGAUAAUGACGGUACCCGUAGAAGAAGCCCCGGCUAACUUCGUGCCAGCAGCCGCGGUAAUACGAAGGGGGCUAGCGUUGUUCGGAAUUACUGGGCGUAAAGCGCGCGUAGGCGGAUUGAUCAGUUAGGGGUGAAAUCCCAAGGCUCAACCUUGGAACUGCCUCUAAUACUGUCAGUCUAGAGUUCUAGAGAGGUGAGUGGAAUUCCGAGUGUAGAGGUGAAAUUCGUAGAUAUUCGGAGGAACACCAGUGGCGAAGGCGGCUCACUGGCUAGAUACUGACGCUGAGGUGCGAAAGU
rnacentral:rRNA from 1 species